AGGGACCUACAAGUAAAGAAUUCUAAUAUAAAGACCAACAUUUUUUUUAGUAAAUAAUCAAUCUGUUUACUUUUUUUAAAUGUUUGGUUUUUGUUUUUUUUUUAGGUUAGCUCUAUGCCCAACAUAGGGCUUGAACUUCUGACCCUGAGAUCAAGAGUCCCAUGCUUUGCUGACUGAGCCACAUCAAUACACUUAGGAAAAAAGUGUGUGUGUGUUUCCGUGUUUGGGCCCCGCGUGCACACAUGGGCUAAAGAAAGGUUGGGUUGAGGCAUAAGGAAGAGGAUGGAUCGAAUUGAAGUGAAGUGAAGAAAUCAUCAAGUUCCCAAAGAGAUCCUUACAGUUUUCCAUGGAUCAUGCUAUGACCCGGAAAUGUCUGCUCCACCUUCUGCUGGUUGGCAUCCCAGUCUGGUGCAACUCCCUGAGAGUGACAGAGAAGCGUGGGUCCCGGGGAAAGUGCCUUCUUUGGAGCUAGAAAUCUUGGGUGGCAAGCUUGGCCUUGGCCUUCAGAAGUCAUUACGUAUCAGGGUGUGAACACAUCCCUUAACCAUUCUGACUCCCUUUCUUUCUUUCUUUCUUCUUUCUUUUCUUUCUUUCUUUCUUUCUUUCUUUCUUUCUUUCUUUCUUUCUUUCUUUCUUUUUUUAGAUUUUAUUGAUUUAUUCAUGAAAGACACAGAGAGAGGCAGAGACAAAGCAGAGGGAGAAGCAGACUCCCUGGGGGAGCCCUAUGCGGGACUCGAACCCAGGACCCCGAGAUCACACCCUGAGCCAAAGGAAGACGCUCAAUCACUGAGCCACUCAAACGUCCCUCUAACUCUGUUUCUCAUCGGUCUAAAAGCACCCUUCAGGGUAUCCUGUUGGAAUAAUCCACGUCGCACAGUCGCGUAAUUGAGUUCAGGUCACAAUGCAAGCCAACUGCUCUGGAAUACCAACUCGCAAGCACCACUCAACGAGAGGAUACGUCUUUAUCCUGCACAGAGGACCUAGAGACGCUGUGCUAUCACCCACGUGACGUACAGUGCUUCUGAAUACCAAUGGUGUUCACCAGGAAAAGACCUUCUUCAGAUGGAAGAGGCCCAACCUCUCAGGGAUAGGAAUCCUUAACUAGCUACCAGGCUCAGAGCUACCAAUCUGUUGCCGUACAAUUAAUUCUGGUGGCAUACAGUGAAGGAAUAAGGUUUCUCUGUGGUUCGGCAACAUAAUCACACGUGAAGCAGUGCCUAUAAAUCACAGGUGUGUGCCGUUCCUGCUAAUUGGUGAACUAACCUAUUAACAAGUCUCUUAAGUGUUACACGAUUUAGAUAUGUGAGCAGAGAGAUCCGUUAUACUGGGGAAUCCUGAAAUUUGUACGACUUGCCUACAAAGAGCAGAGCAAGAUACCUGCCUGGAGGUUGCUGUGCUGAAUUUCAGUUCACACUUAAGGAGGGCAUUUGCUUUAGUCAUUGCCAGCUCCCACUCAUAACUUGAAAAGCCUCAAAUUGUGCCGGCUACAGGGGGUCAUACUAAAUUGUUGUCAGCAUUGAACGAAAGUCCUAAGCACAUCGUUCCGAGCAACUGAUAUAAGAGUAAGUAGAGCUUUGAACAAAGGCAAAUGCGUCGGGCAGAGCGUUUGGAGAUACGUAUUUUGAAUAAAAAGUUAAACUUUGUGCA
rnacentral:lncRNA from 12 species